UACGUAGGGACCGAGCGUUGUCCGGAUUCAUUGGGCGUAAAGAGCUCGUAGGCGGCUGUUCAAGUCGAACGUGAAAACUCGGAGCUCAACUCCGAGCCUGCGUUCGAUACUGGACGGCUAGAGUCUGGUAGGGGGAUCUGGAAUUCCUGGUGUAGCGGUGGAAUGCGCAGAUAUCAGGAGGAACACCGGUGGCGAAGGCGGAUCUCUGGGCCAUUACUGACGCUGAGGAGCGAAAGCGUGGGGAGCGAACAGG
rnacentral:rRNA from 1 species